UUUAGGAUGGCGCUUGUUGAAUUACCUGACAUCUGCACGUGUUUGAAGCUGCAUGAUGAGAACAAGAGACUCAAACGAAAGUAUGUUCGUCUUGUAGAAAGAAACAGGAGACUAGAGACACACAUUGCUGAAAUGGAAUCACAAGUAGAAAGAAGAGGAACCAUUAGAGAUAGAGAUAUCAGUGGAUUAUGCUGCAAAGACAAACAUCAUCAAGAAUGUCAUGUUAACAAAGUUCCACAAAACAGUCAUUCCCAACUUGACCCGGAGGACAUGAACAAGUCUUGUCAGAGAUAAACAACAGAACUUACCUGCCUGCAACUGCUAACGGAAAUUCAAUCACUUCUUGGAUUGCAACAUUUAUACGGGAAUCUAACAUUACAUAACCAUGUGAUUGUUAUGUCCCGGAUGUGAUUACUUUUGUUACAGUACUUUGAUGACUACAGACUAUUUACGGACUUUGUGAUCACAUGAAACAACAGUUGCUUUGUAGGAUUUAGAUAGAUUUUACAAGUUUUAGGUUCCCGGUACUUAAGUCUUCAACUCUUGUAACUAAACAUUGAGUUAUCAGUACACACUGAAAAUACACAUGUUUUAUAUUGUGUGUAUGUAAGCAGCAGUGGUGAUUUGUGAUAUUUGUGUUGUGUGGUUUGAUGUUUGUUUGCAGCCCUAGCCACAUCAACUCAACUACCAGCAACUUCUUUAACUAUGGCACCUGAAAAACAGUGUAAUUUUCAAUUGUUAAUGGAAAAUGAGGAAGAACUGUGCUCAGGAUCAUUGCAGGUGGAUGAGAUGAUGCUGUCUGAAGCCAUUGCUGCAUUGUUUUCGUGGUUGUGUUCGUGCCAUGUUCCCACCAGUAGCGUCAAAAUGAUGUCUGCCACCCAGUUUGGUGGUAUUCUCUUGUUGCAUGGUUUAGUCUGCAGCCGUGAUGCUAAUUGCUUGCUCAACAACUUGUCGACUUACAUUCAAACAGACAUUGUCCCACUGCAGUGCAAAAUGGAAACUCACGCUGUGUUUGGGAUAAAGACAUCAAAACUGUUAUGAGCUGCUCCAUGGAAACAACCACCACGUCUUUGUUUCCAACCGAUUUAUUUCAAGAAAAUGUUGAAAGCUCGAGGUGUCUGCUACAGAUUGGGUUGGUGUCAGGAAUAGGAGCAGUGGCAGUCAUAUUUGUUUUUGCAUUUAUGUGUAUUCUUCACUUUCACGUGCAUGCAGAUCGGAAUCCUAAGUCUAGAUGUCAGGAUAAACAUACUCGUGCAGUGAAACCAACAGAGGGCAUGUCAAGCAUAAUUGAUUCGAUUGCUAAUAGUCAGACAUCUGACUGCAAUGUACGUGCCAGUACUGUUGAAUUCUCUGACUACCAGGUGUAGCAUAUGCAAAGGAUCGAAAGCUUUUUCUGAAUGGAAGGUUGCAUGCAGUCAUAGGACUCACUAGAAUGCAUGCUCUAGAUAUUCUAUAGCCAGUAAGUCACACCAUUUCUACAGCUAAGCUAGAAAAUGAAGGUCACAGCUAGCCGUUAAGCUUGAACCCCAUCAUUAUAUAUUCUGCAGGUAGCCAGAAUGCCUUAGUAAAUAGAUUUGUUAUACUUUCA